rnacentral:lncRNA from 1 species
GUAGAACGGUCAGAGUAGCGGGAGGACUGGGAAGGUGGGAAGUGGGAGGACCGUCCAACAUGGCGCUGUGGAAAGCCAGCGCAGGGCCCCAGGGGAUCUUCCGGGGCGGAUGCAGCUGCCUAGGAGUGCUGGGGCUCGCGCGCCUCGGCGGCUCAAACUCUGACCCCUUGAGAUCCUUUCCAGCCCGACCCCUUACUUUAGGGGUCAGCCUGCCCCCGGCGACCAGCGCUGCGCCCUCCCCACUCCACAGAUGAGGAAGCUGAGGUUAAAGUCACUUGCCCCAGGUCACUCCGCAAGUUGAAGCGCAACCAGGAUACUCUGGAACAGGAUGCCUGACUUCAGAGGAGAGGCGCGUAACCACCAGGCAACUGGCCCCACGAAAACAAGUCCCGCAACUUCCCUUCUUUGGCUCCUACUUGCUCCCGGAAGAAAAGCCUUAAACGACAGCAGAUCAGGAGCACCCCGCGCGCCCCCCCCCGCCCCGCCCCGCGUCGGCGCCGGCCCCCUGCAAUGGUUGGCGGUAUGGGGAGGUGAACCAAGAAGGCCAGGAGUUCAAGUGCGUGAUCCCCCACUGGGGCAUAUAGGUUACAGCCGCCAGGGCAACUGAAACUCCUCAGGCUCCAGAGGGCUGAAGUGAGUCGCCUC